rnacentral:rRNA from 1 species
UACGUAGGUGGCAAGCGUUGUCCGGAAUUAUUGGGCGUAAAGCGCGCGCAGGCGGUUUCUCAAGUCUGAUGUGAAAUCUCGCGGCUCAACCGUGAGCGGUCAUUGGAAACUGGGAAACUUGAGUGCAGAAGAGAAGAGCGGAAUUCCACGUGUAGCGGUGAAAUGCGUAGAGAUGUGGAGGAACACCAGUGGCGAAGGCGGCUCUUUGGUCUGUAACUGACGCUGAGGCGCGAAAGCGUGGGGAGCGAACAGG